UGGGGAAUAUUGGUCAAUGGGUGCAAGCCUGAACCAGCCAUCCCGCGUGAAGGACGACUGCCCUAUGGGUUGUAAACUUCUUUUGUAUAGGGAUAAACCUACCCUCGUGAGGGUAGCUGAAGGUACUAUACGAAUAAGCACCGGCUAACUCCGUGCCAGCAGCCGCGGUAAUACGGAGGGUGCAAGCGUUAUCCGGAUUUAUUGGGUUUAAAGGGUCCGUAGGCGGACUUAUAAGUCAGUGGUGAAAGCCUGUCGCUUAACGACAGAACUGCCAUUGAUACUGUGUUGCUAGGAUAUGGUUGCUGUGAGUGGAAUGUGUGGUGUAGCGGUGAAAUGCUUAGAUAUCACACAGAAUAUCGAUUGCGAAGGCAGCUCACAAAGCCAUUAUUGACGCUGAGGCACGAAAGUGUGGGGAUCAAACA
rnacentral:rRNA from 1 species